UACGAAGGGGGGCUAGCGUUGCUCGGAAUUACUGGGCGUAAAGCGCACGUAGGCGGCUUUCUAAGUCGGGGGGUGAAAUCCUGGAGCUCAACUCCAGAACUGCCCUUCGAUACUGGAAAGCUCGAGUCCGGGAGAGGUGAGUGGAACUGCGAGUGUAGAGGUGAAAUUCGUAGAAUUAUUUCGCAAGAACACCAGUGGCG
rnacentral:rRNA from 1 species